rnacentral:rRNA from 1 species
AGCAAAUUUGGUUUCGCUCCAGAUUACAAACCACCAGUACAGACACUUGAAUGAAACUUGACGAGAUAUAAACGUUUUCUGGCCCUCGUACUGAUCUUUUAAUAACCUUUACACGAUAGACACUACCAAACCCUCACAUUAUAUCAAAAGUGCGUUUACAAUAACUAACCUACCACGAACCUUUAAUAACCUUUACACGAUAGACACUACCAAACCGUCACUAUACCAAAAGUACGUUUACAAUGACUAACCUACCACGAACCUUUAAUAACCUUUACGUGUUAGACACUAAGAUUAGGAAUCCUUAAAAAGGAAUACACCAAAUAAACUAAGUAACCUAAGGUUUGGUACACCAAAAAGAAAAGAAAUCCUAGGUAAACGUGAUUUAAAGUACCCUUUUUUUAAGUAGAUGAGGUUAGAGAAACUUUCUUAGUAUGUAAGAAGGAUACGUGUUAGUUUGUAGGACUGUACUAGGACAAGGAUGUAAAAAGAAUAGGGUUACAAAACCUUUAGUACCCUUAGUUUCUCCGGGCUCCAGACUCGAUUAAAAAAAAAUUAAGGAAACUUUACACUUCCUAUCCUUGGUUAAAACGUAACCUUAUGUUUAAGUAAGGACGUCUGGUUUCCCGAGAUUCCCCUAUAAAAGACAUCCUUGGCAAUAGGAUGUUUUAAGGAUGUUUGAACUACAUUUGGUU